GCGAGCCAAGGAGCCAACCCCAGGGUUAUGUGACCUUGUACCGCAGUAGCAGGACAGAGGGGCAGUGAUUUCUCAGGUAAAACAGAGAGGUAACCAGUGCUCUUCUGAACACAAACCCAAUCCAGGAAAGAAUGGCAGCUUAAACAGAUCUGGAAAUGAUCAAGAUGACACAUAUCCUACAAACCUUCUGAAGUAUUAAAGAUGUAGCAAUCACUGCCUUUGUCACGAUUACAGAUAUGCUCUUGUACAUAUUUUCCUGGGCAUAUUUUAAUAGUACCACUGAGGUAAUUUCUUUUUUUUCCCCAUAAGCUAGGGCCUAAUGCCCUUCAACUUGUUUCUGAUCUAGCUCUUGUUCAGGCUUACUACUGCCCCAGCCACCCGGUCCUGUGGAGCUCUAAGAAGCAGCUAAUGGACCUUUGUAGCUUCACCAGCCUGGGUGGGGGGAGGAUCUAUAUUCCAGGUACAAACACUGACAAGGGCUGAGACACAACCACUGCAGGGCAGGUGGCCUGAGCCACACGCUGUGGGCCACUUCUGAUUCUGUUAAACCUGGUCUUAUGCUAACACCAAGUGAUUCGCUCCUCCUUACUAAAUAACAAGCUAACCUAUUUCUAUCUGCCAGCAUUAUAAAGAAUAAACUAAGAUGUUUAACAGAACAAGUCUCUUCCGAGGGUUUAAGGACUGCUCUCGGAGGGGAAGGGAUCCGAGCACGGGUGAUGCACUGGCCCAGCCUCUCACACCCUGCAACUCUGCUCCAGUUCCCCAAACAUCUCAUUACCAGUUCUCAAAACCAUUCCACCUUGUGUAAUACAAAAAAAACAACUUAAUAAAAGCAAGGUUUUAAAGCA